CACAAGGCUUUUUUAAUAGCCACAGAUUUUAUUUUUGCAAGGGUUGU
rfam:Tyto alba contig126492, whole genome shotgun sequence.